CCCUCAAUCUUUGGGCGGGUCAACCACAACAUUGCCAAAGAUUAUGGGCGAGAGCUCGGCUCAGAUCAGCCGUGAGAUCUUCUUGAAGGCUUCAUUGAAGAACCUCUAUUGCAGUCUCUUGGAUCGACCCGCUCAGCUCAGAAGUUGACUGUAUACAAGACAAAACACAAGCAGCCAAACAAUCACAAGACCCUGAUGCAAGCAAGCGAGCAUCGCUUCAUUUUCUGCCUGAGACUUGCCGGUUAAAGUCAGAUGUGUGACUUGAAAUUCAUGGUAAAAAAACAAUUAUGCUUCAUUUUUCGUCAUUCGAUUGAUGUACAUGCUUUGAGAGCUCAUGGCAACGCUCCCUGAAACACAAAAGUAGCAGCCGUGGAACGGUUCUUCGAUGACGACUGAACAUAUUGACAGGCAGAAGAGAGAAGUUCAGUAUAAAAAACUCCUGCUUUCUUUCUAUCUUGUGCCACGCAAUUGGAAAUGUGAUGCAUUUUUUGGGCUAGUAAUAUAUCAAAAUAAAAGAUCUUGGAGCUAGUGAUGCAAGCACUGCACUGCAUCUGUACCUAUCCGACUGUUGGGAACAAAUAGUGCUAGCUCAACUCACAGUGGUUGACAUUCUGUCUUGACAACUGCAUUAUUUCAGGAAAGGCAGAUCGUAUAAGUGGCGAGCUGUGACUGCCUAACAGCAUGUGGUUGAAGCCUGCAGAAAAGGCAUGCUAGCUACCGAUGGUUGACUUGACGCAACCAAUUAAACACCACUAGUGGGGUCGCAGAAUGGGAUGAUGGCUACGACCAUCAACUAACUACAAGAUCGGCGCAGUCGUUUUCUUUGCAUCUUCUCAUCACCUUCCAAUGAAAGACAAGGGAAUAGACUACAGGACACUCAGUCAUGGGAUCUUCAGAGGUUGACAGUAGUGGCACUUGGAGCAGAUCCUAGAAAAUUUCAAAUAGCAGGAUUGAAAUAAAAGAGUCCAAGUCGGUUCAGCACCAAAUAGCAUCUGUGUUUUGCUCGUUGGAUGACGAUUGGAAGUAGCAGCCACAGAACCAUUCUUCGUCGAUGAGGACUGAACAAAUUAAUACACAACAAUGACUGCUGCGCGCGUGCGUGCCCAGGGAGGAAGGGAGGGACACGAAAAUGGCGAUGUCUUCUUGCCCGCUUUCACACAGUGUAUGCGCGUUCGAUGCAACGGGAGUUCUGGAGCUCCUUGCCUUUUCCCUUUUUGUCCUCUGUUUUACUUUGUUUCUGUACAGUAUUUUUUUUCUUGCAUGCCCUUGAAUCCUUGUGUUGUGCCUGAGGAUGACCCCUCAUCUUGUCAGUAAAAAUUGGCACAAUCUGAAGUGUAGUUUAAUUCUAUUCUAACUUGGUUGAACUUUGGGGUUCUCGGUUUAUUGCUUUUA